UCAGUAACGGCGAGUGAAGCGGCAACAGCUCAAAUUUGAAAUCUGGCCCCCAGGCCCGAGUUGUAAUUUGCAGAGGAUGCUUUGGGCGCGGCGCCUUCCGAGUUCCCUGGAACGGGACGCCACAGAGGGUGAGAGCCCCGUCUGGUUGGAUGCCUAGCCUAUGUAAAGCUCCUUCGACGAGUCGAGUAGUUUGGGAAUGCUGCUCUAAACGGGAGGUAUAUGUCUUCUAAAGCUAAAUAUUGGCCAGAGACCGAUAGCGCACAAGUAGAGUGAUCGAAAGAUGAAAAGCACUUUGAAAAGAGGGUUAAAUAGUACGUGAAAUUGUUGAAAGGGAAGCGCUUACGACCAGACUUGGGCCCGGCGGAUCACCCGGCGUUCUUCGCCGGGGCACUCCGCCGGCCCAGGCCAGCAUCGGUUCGCCUCGGGGGAUAAAGGCGGCGGGAACGUAGCUCCCUCGGGAGUGUUAUAGCCCGCCGUGUAAUACCCUGCGGCGGACCGAGGACCGCGCAUCUGCAAGGAUGCUGGCGUAAUGGUCGUCAGCGACCCGUCUUGAAACACGGACCAAGGAGUCGUCUUCGUAUGCGAGUGUUCGGGUGGAAAACCCCUACGCGUAAUGAAAGUGAACGCAGGUGAGAGCUUCGGCGCAUCAUCGACCGAUCCUGAUGUUCUCGGAUGGAUUUGAGUAAGAGCAUACGGGGCCGGACCCGAAAGAAGGUGAACUAUGCCUGUAUAGGGUGAAGCCAGAGGAAACUCUGGUGGAGGCUCGCAGCGGUUCUGACGUGCAAAUCGAUCGUCAAAUAUGGGCAU
rnacentral:rRNA from 1 species